CCCCCUUAUGCCUCAUCCUUCAGAAAGAACAAAAGAAAAAAAGGGGGAAAGGGAAAAACAGAGAGAGGGAAGAAAGGAAAAAAGGGGGAAGCGGAAAUAGAGAAGAGGGAGAACGAGGAAGGAAGGAAAGGGGGGAGAAGAGUGGGGCGGCGCGGUGGGUGUCACUGCCACCGUCGCCGCCGCUGCUGACAGAGGAGAGAGGAGAUCUGAGAGAGAAGGAGAGUGUCGUGAGGGAGCCGCCGCGCCGCUCAGGACCGCCGUCGCAUCGUGUCGCCGUUUGCAACAGCGCCGAGGAGGACCGCGCGAGAAGGAGGCACAACCGUCACGCCACCGUCGCUGUCUUCAUCGCGUGUGGAGUCAUCGUUGCCAACAAACCCAGCUGCCGCCCAGUUGUGUCGCCGCCAUGAAGACCUCGCAGACGUCUUCCCCUUCGCAGAUCAUUGCCGUCUUUGGAGCAGAGAGCGAAAGAGAUCUCACGGUAGAGGAAACAUGGAGGUGCCACCGUGCAGCGAGAAGCUACUGCCGCCACGAAGCUACCGCCGCCGUUGCACACUCCGUUACCGCUACUGCUGGGGCUGUGCUGCCAUGACCGAGCUUCUGCCACCCGAAACCCGCCGCCACUGCCACCAAAAACCGCCACUGAGGCCUAAGUCAGUUUGACUAUAUAGUCACUGCUGCUACAGAACCAUCAGAGCUUCUGGCUGUUAUUAGAGCUGCUGUCCGGUCAAUUUAGAAGCUACUACUGUGUCGUUCUAUUCUGUUUAUGGAACCGGAUGAAGAAACAUUAAGAAGAGUUACAGUGCAUUUGGUGUAUAUGUUGUUGUAUUAAUUAGAUUAUUUUCUUCCUUCGUUUUUGUUAUUACAAGUUUGUAAGAGGGAUAGGAAUUGUAUGUUUUAUAUGUAUAAUAUAUUGAGUUAUUGUGUAAGGAGUCUUGUAUAUGAAUCUAUGCCUGCUUGUAUUUUUCUUAAGAUAAAGUAUUUAUUUCUGGUUUUCAAAGAAA